UGUCAACCAGGCCCCCUCCGCCCCCCCCCCGGGACCCAAGAGCCCGGGCCCGCCCCUGCCCGGCCCUGCCCUGCCCCCGCCCCGCACGGCCCCGCAGCCGGGCCGGAGGGUCGGCAAGGGAACCAGCUGCCAGCCGGAAGCUCUCCACCGGUCCCGGCCGGGCCAGAAAAUGAGGCCCAAGCGAGCCCCGGAGGCCCGUGGUCCCAGCCGGGCAAUGCCAGGCCCCCCGAGGGCGGCCCCUUCGCCUCCUGGACCCUGAACCUCUCCAUCUCCACAGGUGCCCAGCAGGAGACCACUACCUGGGAUUGGGUGGGAGAGCCAGCGGAACUGGGGUUUUGGAUCCUCACCUCCCGGGCCUGUCCUGCAAAGGAUGACCAGACUACCUGCCUGUUGUCCCUUGGAGGAGCCUGAGGCUGGUGUUCAGAGGAGCAUGGGUCGAGAGGGUGCUGGGGAGGGGGAGAGAGGCCUGGAAAGGGGUCCCAGCUGUUGCCGAGGCCCUUUAAACUAUUUUUUAUUUAUUUAUGUUCAUUCAUUCAUUCAAUAGUAUUUAUUGAGUGCUUACUAUGUGCAGAGCACUGUACUAAACGCUUGGAAUCUACAAAUUGGUAACAGAUAGAGACAGUCCCUGCCCUUUGACGGGCUUACAGUCUAAUCGGGGGAGACGGACAGACAAGAACAAUAGCAAUAAAUUGAAUCAAGAUAGCAAUAAAUUUGUAAAGUGCUUACUAUAUGCCCGGCACAGUUCUAAGCACUGGGGUAGGUACAAGCUAAUUGGGUUGCACACAGUCCCUGUCUCCCAUGGGG
rnacentral:lncRNA from 1 species